ACAUAUUGUAUUUAUAUUAUUAGUAAAAAUGUUGAUCAGUUAGACACAAUGGAUGAAUCAUUUACUGAUCUUGAUUCUACUCUCAAUACUUGUACACUAUCAGUAGCUCCUCCUUUUCCUCCUACUCCAAUGAGAGCUCCUCCCACUAAAA